rnacentral:rRNA from 1 species
GUUUUUUUGAUUUAUAUUUAAAGUCUCUCCUGCCCAAUGAUAUUUGAAUGGCCGCAGUAUUUUGACUGUGCUAAGGUAGCAUAAUCAUUAGUUUCUUAAUUAGAAGCUGGAAUGAAGGGUUGGAUGAAAAAAUAGCUGUCUCAAAUUAAAUUUAUAGAAUUUUAUUUUUAAGUUAAAAAGCUUAAAUAUGAUUAAAAGACGAGAAGACCCUAUAGAGUUUAAUAAUUUAAUUUAAUUUUUUAUUUGGAAUUUAGAUUUAAAAUUAAUUUUAAUUAUUUAGUUGGGGUGAUUUAAAAAUUAAAUUAACUUUUUAUUUAUAUGUAUAUUAAUUAAUAGUUUUUUGAUCCAAUAAUUUUGAUUAUAAGAUUAAAUUACCUUAGGGAUAACAGCGUAAUUUUAUUGGAGAGUUCAAAUCGAUAAUAAAGAUUGCGACCUCGAUGUUGGAUUAAAAUUUAUAAUUGGUGUAGAAGCUUUAUUAUUAAGUCUGUUCGACU